rnacentral:rRNA from 1 species
UACGUAGGUGGCAAGCGUUUGUCCGGAUUUACUGGGCGUAAAGAGCGCGCAGGCGGUCGUGCAAGUCGCGUGUGAAAGCCCCCGGCUCAACUGGGGAGGGUCACGCGAUACUGCUCGACUUGAAGGCAGGAGAGGGAAGUGGAAUUCCCGGUGUAGUGGUGAAAUGCGUAGAUAUCGGAAGGAACAUCAGUGGCGAAAGCGACUUCCUGGACCAAUACUGACGCUCAUGUGCGAAAGCGUGGGGAGCAAACAGG